rnacentral:rRNA from 1 species
CUGGCUCAGGAUGAACGCUGGCGGCGUGCUUAACACAUGCAAGUCGAACGGUGAAGCCAAGCUUGCUUGGUGGAUCAGUGGCGAACGGGUGAGUAACACGUGAGCAACCUGCCCUGGACUCUGGGAUAAGCGCUGGAAACGGCGUCUAAUACUGGAUAUGAGCCCCUUCCGCAUGGUGGGGGUUGGAAAGAUUUUUUGGUCUGGGAUGGGCUCGCGGCCUAUCAGCUUGUUGGUGAGGUAAUGGCUCACCAAGGCGUCGACGGGUAGCCGGCCUGAGAGGGUGACCGGCCACACUGGGACUGAGACACGGCCCAGACUCCUACGGGAGGCAGCAGUGGGGAAUAUUGCACAAUGGGCGGAAGCCUGAUGCAGCAACGCCGCGUGAGGGAUGACGGCCUUCGGGUUGUAAACCUCUUUUAGCAGGGAAGAAGCGAGAGUGACGGUACCUGCAGAAAAAGCGCCGGCUAACUACGUGCCAGCAGCCGCGGUAAUACGUAGGGCGCAAGCGUUAUCCGGAAUUAUUGGGCGUAAAGAGCUCGUAGGCGGUUUGUCGCGUCUGCUGUGAAAUCCCGAGGCUCAACCUCGGGCCUGCAGUGGGUACGGGCAGACUAGAGUGCGGUAGGGGAGAUUGGAAUUCCUGGUGUAGCGGUGGAAUGCGCAGAUAUCAGGAGGAACACCGAUGGCGAAGGCAGAUCUCUGGGCCGUAACUGACGCUCAGGAGCGAAAGGGUGGGGAGCAAACAGGCUUAGAUACCCUGGUAGUCCACCCCGUAAACGUUGGGAACUAGUUGUGGGGACCAUUCCACGGUUUCCGUGACGCAGCUAAC